AGCGAACGCUGGCGGCAGGCCUAACACAUGCAAGUCGAACGGACCCUUCGGGGUUAGUGGCGGACGGGUGAGUAACACGUGGGAACGUGCCUUUAGGUUCGGAAUAGCUCCUGGAAACGGGUGGUAAUGCCGAAUGUGCCCUUCGGGGGAAAGAUGUUAUCGCCUUUAGAGCGGCCCGCGUCUGAUUAGCUAGUUGGUGAGGUAAUGGCUCACCAAGGCGACGAUCAGCAGCUGGUCUGAGAGGAUGACCAGCCACAUUGGGACUGAGACACGGCCCAAACUCCUCCGGGGGGCAGCAGUGGGGAAUCUUGCGCAAUGGGCAAAAGCUUGACGCAGCCACGCCGCGUGGAUGAUGAAGGUCUUAGGAUUGUAAAAUCCUUUCACCGGUGAAGAUAAUGACUGUAGCCGGAGAAGAAGCCCCGGCUAACUUCGUGCCAGCCGCCGCGGUAA
rnacentral:rRNA from 1 species